rnacentral:rRNA from 1 species
AACGAACGCUGGCGGCAGGCUUAACACAUGCAAGUUGAACGGGAACAUACGAUAGCUUGCUAUAGUAUGUGAGAGUGGCGCACGGGUGAGUAAUACAUGGGAACAUACCUUGAAGUGGGGGAUAACUUCUAGAAAUGACUGCUAAUACCGCAUAAGACCACAGGGUCGCAUGACCCGGUGGUAAAAACUCCGGUGGUAUGAGAUGGAUCCGCGUCUGAUUAGCUAGUUGGUGGGGUAACGGCUCACCAAGGCGACGAUCAGUAGCCGACCUGAGAGGGUGGCCGGCCACAUUGGGACUGAGACACGGCCCAA